UCGCACAGGAGCAAAUUACCGCGUUCAGCUAAUCCGCAGUAACUUGCUCCUGUGAGAGG
rnacentral:pre_miRNA from 1 species